UUUUAUUUGAGAGUUUGAUCCUGGCUCAGGAUGAACGCUGGCGGCGUGCCUAACACAUGCAAGUUGAGCGAUUUACUUCGGUAAAGAGCGGCGGACGGGUGAGUAACGCGUGGGUAACCUACCCUGUACACACGGAUAACAUACCGAAAGGUAUGCUAAUACGGGAUAAUAUAUUUGAGAGGCAUC
rnacentral:rRNA from 1 species